rnacentral:rRNA from 1 species
AGUGAACGCUGGCGGCGUGCCUAAUACAUGCAAGUCGAACGGAGUGGCGCACGGGUGAGUAAUAUAUAGCUAAUCUGCCCCUUGCUGGAGGACAACAGUUAGAAAUGACUGCUAAUACUCCAUAGCAAGGGAUGAGACUAUAUCGUAUCAGCUAGUCGGUGGGGUAACGGCCUACCGAGGCUAUGACGCGUAACUGGUCUGAGAGGAUGAUCAGGUACAUUGGAACUGAGACACGGGGCAAAAUCGGACGUGAGUGAGCAGUAUGGAAUAUUGCUGAAUGGGGGAAACCCGUACGCAGUAACGCCGCGAUGAGGAUGACACGUGUCUGAGCGUAGACGCAGUUGGUUAGGGAAGCGGUACCUAACGAAUAAGCACCGGCUAACGCCGUGCCAGCAGCCGCGGUAAUUC